rnacentral:rRNA from 1 species
CAGAGGGUGCGAGCGUUAAUCGGAAUUACUGGGCGUAAAGCGUGCGUAGACGGCUAUCUAAGUCGGGUGUGAAAGCCCCGGGCUCAACCUGGGAAUUGCAUUCGAGACUGAAUAGCUAGGGUACGGUAGAGGGAAGUGGAAUUUCCGGUGUAGCGGUGAAAUGCGUAGAUAUCGGAAGGAACAUCAGUGGCGAAAGCGACUUCCUGGACCAGUACCGACGUUCAGGCACGAAAGCGUGGGGAGCAAACGGGAUUAGAUACCCUGGUAGUCCACGCCAUAAACGAUGAGGACUAGACGUUGGAGGGGUAAGCCUUUCAGUGUCGUAGCUAACGCGCUAAGUCCUCCGCCUGGGGAGUACGGCCGCAAGGUUG